rnacentral:rRNA from 1 species
AUUGAACGCUGGCGGCAUGCCUUACACAUGCAAGUCGAACGGCAGCACGGGUGCUUGCACCUGGUGGCGAGUGGCGAACGGGUGAGUAAUACAUCGGAACAUGUCCUGUAGUGGGGGAUAGCCCGGCGAAAGCCGGAUUAAUACCGCAUACGAUCUACGGAUGAAAGCGGGGGACCUUCGGGCCUCGCGCUAUCGGGUUGGCCGAUGGCUGAUUAGCUAGUUGGUGGGGUAAAGGCCUACCAAGGCGACGAUCAGUAGCUGGUCUGAGAGGACGACCAGCCACACUGGGACUGAGACACGGCCCAGACUCCUACGGGAGGCAGCAGUGGGGAAUUUUGGACAAUGGGCGAAAGCCUGAUCCAGCAAUGCCGCGUGUGUGAAGAAGGCCUUCGGGUUGUAAAGCACUUUUGUCCGGAAAGAAAUCCUUGGCCCUAAUACGGUCGGGGGGAUGACGGUACCGGAAGAAUAAGCACCGGCUAACUACGUG